CGCCCCCCUCCCAGGCGCUGGGGGCGACGGAGGCGCUCGGCGCAGGCGCGGCCGGAGGGCGCAGGCGCGGAUGCUCUGCGCGCAGGCGCGCUGCCCUCCGCCUGCCCCACGCUGAGAGCCCAUUGGCCGGGGGGGGGGGAUGGCUCCGCGCGGGGACACAGAGGACGGCGCGGGACGGUGGCGCGCGCGCAGAUCCUUUAUCAUUGCUGUCUUCGGCAUCCGAGAAGAGAUGUGGGUCACGUUUGGUCCCUGGUGCCCCUCUAUGCUGCAGCUGUAUUUUCUUGGAAUGUCUCUGAUGCGCAGUGUUACUUACUAUGGGUUGUAAUCCCUCAGAUCGGUGUGCGAAGGAUCACCUCUGAAAAUGUGGACAUCCUAAAGGAUGAAGAAUGUCUUGGAUUUGAAAGCUUGUCUUACUUUAUCCUUUCUACAUAGUUGGUCCAAUAAAAGAUCUCUUUAACAAA